rnacentral:rRNA from 1 species
UUGAGGCGUGGCUUCCGGAGCUAACGCGUUAAGUCGACCGCCUGGGGAGUACGGCCGCAAGGUUAAAACUCAAAUGAAUUGACGGGGGCCCGCACAAGCGGUGGAGCAUGUGGUUUAAUUCGAUGCAACGCGAAGAACCUUACCUGGCCUUGACAUCCACGGAAUUCGGCAGAGAUGCCUUAGUGCCUUCGGGAACCGUGAGACAGGUGCUGCAUGGCUGUCGUCAGCUCGUGUUGUGAAAUGUUGGGUUAAGUCCCGCAACGAGCGCAACCCUUAUCCUUUGUUGCCAGCGGGUAAUGCCGGGAACUCAAAGGAGACUGCCGGUGAUAAACCGGAGGAAGGUGGGGAUGACGUCAAGUCAUCAUGGCCCUUACGGCCAGGGCUACACACGUGCUACAAUGGCGCAUACAAAGAGAAGCGACCUCGCGAGAGCAAGCGGACCUCAUAAAGUGCGUCGUAGUCCGGAUCGGAGUCUGCAACUCGACUCCGUGAAGUCGGAAUCGCUAGUAAUCGUAGAUCAGAAUGCUACGGUGAAUACGUUCCCGGGCCUUGUACACACCGCCCGUCACACCAUGGGAGUGGGUUGCAAAAGAAGUAGGUAGCUUAACCUUCGGGAGGGCGCUUACCACUUUGUGAUUCAUGACUGGGGUGAAGUCGUAACAAGGUAACCGUAGGGAAC